rnacentral:misc_RNA from 1 species
UUGCGGAAGCUUUUGGAUGAUUAUUUACUUGAGAAACAGAAAAACCGGGCCAAAACAGAACCAUGUGAAAUGGAGCUUUUUAAUAGGUCUCGGUUUAGCAAUUCAUCAUUGCAACGUUGCAAAGGCAAUGAACCAGUUGAUGAAGNNNNNNNNGGUGGAAAUGACCCUCCUAUUUCAAGUUACCCUUCAGUAGAGAUAGAGAAGGAUGCAGCCC